AAUGGGAUUGCUGGACUAUAUGGCAGUUCUAUGUUUAAUUUUUUGAGGAACUUCCAUUCUCUUUUCCAUAAUAGCUGUCCUAAUUUACACUCCCACCGACAGU
rnacentral:pre_miRNA from 1 species